CAGUCGCCGCGGUAAUGCGUAGGUGGCAAGCGUUGUCCGGAAUUAUUGGGCGCAAAGCGCGCGCAGGUGGUUUAAUAAGUCUGAUGUGAAAGCCCACGGCUCAACCGUGGAGUGUCAUUGGAAACUGUUAAACUUGAGUGCAGGAGAGAAAAGUGGAAUUCCUAGUGUAGCGGUGAAAUGCGUAGAGAUUAGGAGGAACACCAGUGGCGAAGGCGGCUUUUUGGCCUGUAACUGACACUGAGGCGCGAAAGCGUGGGGAGCAAACAGGAUUAGAUACCCGGGUAGUCCCUGUCUCUUAUAC
rnacentral:rRNA from 1 species